rnacentral:rRNA from 1 species
UAGGGAAUCUUCGGCAAUGGACGAAAGUCUGACCGAGCAACGCCGCGUGAGUGAAGAAGGUUUUCUGAUCGUAAAACUCUGUUGUUAGAGAAGAACAAGGACGUUAGUAACUGAACGUCCCCUGACGGUAUCUAACCAGAAAGCCACGGCUAACUACGUGCCAGCAGCCGCGGUAAUACGUAGGUGGCAAGCGUUGUCCGGAUUUAUUGGGCGUAAAGCGAGCGCAGGCGGUUUCUUAAGUCUGAUGUGAAAGCCCCCGGCUCAACCGGGGAGGGUCAUUGGAAACUGGGAGACUUGAGUGCAGAAGAGGAGAGUGGAAUUCCAUGUGUAGCGGUGAAAUGCGUAGAUAUAUGGAGGAACACCAGUGGCGAAGGCGGCUCUCUGGUCUGUAACUGACGCUGAGGCUCGAAAGCGUGGGGAGCAAACAGG